rnacentral:rRNA from 1 species
CCUACGGGAGGCAGCAGUGGGGAAUAUUGGACAAUGGGCGCAAGCCUGAUCCAGCCAUGCCGCGUGUGUGAAGAAGGCCUUAUGGUUGUAAAGCACUUUAAGCGAGGAGGAGGCUACUUUAGUUAAUACCUAGAGAUAGUGGACGUUACUCGCAGAAUAAGCACCGGCUAACUCUGUGCCAGCAGCCGCGGUAA